rnacentral:rRNA from 1 species
CCUACGGGUGGCAGCAGUGAGGAAUCUUGCUCAAUGGACGAGAGUCUGAACCAGCAACGUAGCGUGAAGGAUGAAUGCCCUAUGAGUUGUAAACUUCUUUUAUAUGGGAAUACAAUCUUCCAAGUGUGGGAGUUUGUAUGUACCAUAUGUAUAAAGAUCGGCUCACCCCGCGCCAGCAGACGCGGUACUACUGAGGGUGCGAGCGUUACCCGGAUUUAUUGGGUUGAAAGGGAGCCUAGGUGGAUUGUUAAGUCAGUUGUGAAAGUUUGCGGCUCAACCGUAAAAUUGCAGUUGAAACUGGCAGUCUGGAGUGCAGUAGAGGUGAGCGGAAUUCGUGGUGUAGCGGUGAAAUGCGUAGAUAUCACGAAGAACUCCGAUGGCGAAGGCAGCUCUCUGGACUGUAACUGACACUGAGGCUCGAAAGUGUGGGUAUCAAACAGGAUUAGAUACCCCAGUAGUC